rnacentral:rRNA from 1 species
CAGUAGCCACGGUAAUACAGAGGGUGCGAGCGUUAAUCGGAUUUACUGGGCGUAAAGCGUGCGUAGGCGGCUUCUUAAGUCGGAUGUGAAAUCCCUGAGCUUAACUUAGGAAUUGCAUUCGAUACUGGGAAGCUAGAGUAUGGGAGAGGAUGGUAGAAUUCCAGGUGUAGCGGUGAAAUGCGUAGAGAUCUGGAGGAAUACCGAUGGCGAAGGCAGCCAUCUUGCCUAAUACUGACGCUGAGGUACGAAAGCAUGGGGAGCAAACAGGAUUAGAUACCCCGGUAGUCCCUGUCUCUUAUAC